rnacentral:lncRNA from 1 species
UGAGACUGGAGGAAUGCGCAGAAGCCAGGCUGCUUGGUUCUACCGGUCCUAAGACAACUAUAUGUUUUCCCAAGUAAAGUGAAAGGCUUAAGGGGAUGAAAAUCUGUUAGAUGACAUGCAACCUGCCCUUUCAAAGCUCCUCAAGGACCCUGG